ACGGGAGGCAGCAGUGGGGAAUAUUGCACAAUGGGGGAAACCCUGAUGCAGCGACGCCGCGUGAGUGAAGAAGUAUUUCGGUAUGUAAAGCUCUAUCAGCAGGGAAGAUAAUGACGGUACCUGACUAAGAAGCACCGGCUAAAUACGUGCCAGCAGCCGCGGUAGUACGUAUGGUGCAAGCGUUAUCCGGAUUUACUGGGUGUAAAGGGAGCGUAGACGGCAAGGCAAGUCUGAAGUGAAAGCCUGGGGCUCAACCCCGGAACUGCUUUGGAAAUUGUCUGGCUAGAGUGCAGGAGAGGUAAGUGGAAUUCCUAGUGUAGCGGUGAAAUGCGUAGAUAUUAGGAGGAACACCAGUGGCGAAGGCGGCUUACUGGACUGUAACUGACGUUGAGGCUCGAAAGCGUGGGGAGCAAACAGGAUUAGAUACCCUGGUA
rnacentral:rRNA from 1 species